ensembl:lncRNA
AUUUUAUUUCUGUAAAGAGCAAGGAUUAUGUGUAUCCCUUGAGUGAACCAGGACGCUGCCCCAAGGCUGCAAUGUGGUUUCUCGGCCGCUUCUCCCUCGUCCCUGCCUCCCUCCCUUCCCUGAUUAGGAACUGUUUGAAAGCUUUCAUGGCUAGGUGUCCCACAGGGUCCUGCUUAGUUUCAAAGACAGAAAUCAUUUCCCCUUAUGGGCCCUUCAGGCUUCCCUGGUGGCUCAGAUGGUAAAGAAUCUGCCUGCAAUGCGAGAGACCUGGGUUCAUUCCCUGGGUUGGGAAGAUCCCCUGGAGAAGGUUAUAGCCGUCCACUCCAGUAUUCUUGCCUGGAGACUCCCAUGGACAGAGGAGCCUGGCAGGCUGCAGUCCACAGGGUCACAGAGGGUCAGACACGACUGAGCGACUUUCACUACGGGUCCUUCUCACCUCGUCCCCCUCUGCCUCCUUGGUUCCAGCUGGCAAAUGCUGAUUCUCAGGAGGGAACCCAGAGCUUACAAUCAGUGAGCAGCCUGGGCACGGCUGAUCAUCACACCCAUUGUGCAGAACGGGAAACGGAGGCUCGGAAAGGUCAAGGGGCCUGGUGCCUCCCGUGUCCCAUCAGUGGGGCCAGG